rnacentral:rRNA from 1 species
UGGGGAAUAUUGCACAAUGGGCGCAAGCCUGAUGCAGCCAUGCCGCGUGUGUGAAGAAGGCCUUCGGGUUGUAAAGCACUUUCAGCGAGGAGGAAGGGUUCAGUGUUAAUAGCACUGUUCAUUGACGUUACUCGCAGAAGAAGCACCGGCUAACUCCGUGCCAGCAGCCGCGGUAAUACGGAGGGUGCAAGCGUUAAUCGGAAUUACUGGGCGUAAAGCGCACGCAGGCGGUUUGUUAAGUCAGAUGUGAAAUCCCCGCGCUUAACGUGGGAACUGCAU